UAGUUGCAGGCUUGUAGCCUAAUUUAUAAAAAUCUAUUCAAUAGAUCGGCCAAAAAAUCAAGAGUAAACUAUCCACUUCAAUAAACUAAUUCCUUCAAAGUUUAUCAAUUAUCACAUUAGUGAUUAGAAAGUUACAUGCUCUACAUCCAAGCCGGAGAAUGUGGCUCGGUGAGCUGGUAGUCCUGUCCACUCCUAAACCAGAAUAAGACUUACCUCUUUCUGGUCUCAACUUUAUGUGAUUUAAUCUACCUUGUUCAGAUCAACUUCGCAUAUAUUUGAUACUCGUUCUUGAUAACAAAGUCAAUAAUUUCACUAGGGCUAUUGAACAUUUUGCUUUUGACAAUAUCUACUUAAAAGCCCUGGCUCUUAUCUGAGAACCAAAGCCACACCUAUCUUAAUCUCAUGCUCAAUUAAGUAGUAAAUUAACAGAUUUUUUUGAGCAAAGUAAAUCAACAGAAUAAUAUUAUAUUAUGUAGUAUGCAUUUGUAUGCCUCUAUCCGACUUACUUGGUUGACAUGUUUGAUGCAUCUCAUUAUGGGUGCGUCAAACAAGAAGCUACCUUCUAGAAAUAACGUACCAUGCUCCGCCACCAACAACUACAGCAAUCUAUGGUUUAGAUGACCAAAUUGACCCAAAAAUUAAAGAACCAACUUUCAAAAUAAAGCCUUGUUUUCCUUGCAGUAGUUAAGAAAGGCUUCCAGCCACUUUCUUUCUCGCGGAAAAGGCUCUUCCUAUUUUAGCAAAAAAAAAAAAGGCUCUUCCUAUCACCUUUUUCUCCCUCGUAGUUCACACUACGAAGUGCCUCUGCAGUUGAACAGAGACGGCAAAAACAGGUCCCAAGAAAGAGGUGAGGCCUUGCGAAAGAAGCAGUCAAUAGUCAAUAAGCGCAACUAUAAAAGUCUAUCAUGCUUAGUUCAAGAGGAGAAAUAAAGAAACCAGCAACUGCAUGCUUUCCCAAGCAAAUGAUAGAAUUUAGAAAACUGAAGGGCCACUUUUAGGAAAAUUAAAAAGAUAGUAAAGCUCCAGCAUCUCUGGAUUUUUUUUUUUUUUUUGAUGCAAUCUGCAUCUCUGUUGUUAUGCUGAAGUCGGUAAAUCAAUUUCAGAUUAGAUAACAACACACGCAACAUUGUGAAUUUAUGGUGCCAUAUUAUCUGUCAAAGUUGUGCGUUAAUUUCAUUAUCUUAUACUGCACCUAAAAGUGUGGAAAAAGAAGACGCUGGAGGGGCGCGCACACACACACAUAUAUAUAUAUCAAGCAAG
rnacentral:lncRNA from 1 species